rnacentral:rRNA from 1 species
UGGCAAAUCCAUUGCUUCCGGCCGCCAUGGCGGCCGCGGGAAUUCGAUUAACGCGAAGAACCUUACCUGGGCUCGAACGGCUGGUCAACGGCUGGGGAAACGUGGCUACCCCGCAGGGGGGUCCAGACGAGGUGCUGGAUGGCUGUCGUCACCUCGCGUCGUGAGAUGUUGGGUUAAGUCCCGCAACGAGCGCCCCCCUUAUUGCCUGUUGCCAUCACGUUAUGGGGGGCCCUCUGGCGAAGCUGCCCCGGAUAACGGGGAAGAAGGUGGGGAUGACGUCUAGUCCUCAUGGUCUUUAUGUCCAGGGCUACCCACCUGCUACGAUGGCCGGUACAAACCGUCGCAACCCCGUGAGGGUGAACUAAUCAAAAAAAGCUGGUCUUACUUCGGAUUGCCGGCUGCAACUCGGCUGCAUGAAGCUGGAAUCGCUAGUAAUCGAGGAUCACAACGCUGCGAUGAAUA